UGAUAGAUGUAAAUAAAAACGAAAACAAGAGGGAGAAGUAGUAAAAGUGCGCGUAAUUGGAUUAGCGAAUAUUAGUGAACUAAUUAGUAGAAGCAAGUGAGUUUUGAGGUGUUUUGGAACGAGUUCGAUCAGACCAGCAUACAAGUUAGGAGGGAGUCGAGAUUCCAAAAUCGCAUGAAAGACGACACGAGAGACAGUUCACAGACAACGAGACAUUUAACGGACAGGUAAAACGAGCAAGUUACAAUAACAUUAAAUGUAUGAUGUAAUUAAUUUGUGACAGAUAACAGACGUACAUUAAGAACGGACACUUAAGUUGUGCUGUUUGGAAAUACUGCCGGAGAAGUCGUAAGUUUAGGAAUUAGGACCGAAUACCAAACUUUGUUAAUUCAUUUGAAAAUACCUUAGGAGAUAGUGCAAAGCACACAACGAGCUUGGAGGAGGAAAGUCAAGGGAAGGAAGCAAACUAAAAUUGUAAGUGGGAUAUUUUACAUGUAACUCGCUAAAUG